GGGGAAACAAAGAGAAGGCAUUCCUAUUGGCUGUUGAGGAACAGGAAGUUCAUGGAGCUAAAGUAGGAAAUACAUGAAACUAGCUGUUGUUGGUAGGUGGGCGGGGCCUUGGGUAAAUAGGCCUUGAUUGACUACAGGGGAAACAAAGAGAAGGCAUUCCUAUUGGCUGUUGAGGAGCAGGAAGUACAUGCAGUUCAAGUAGGAAGUACAUGAAACUAGCUGCCAUUGGUAGGUGGGCGGGACCUUGGGUCAGAAGGACUUCUACUACGAUUCUCCCUCUUAAUUUCUUCUGGAUGUUUCCUCAUCUCAAACUAUAUAGACACUGGAAAUCAGCAUCUUCAUUUCAAGUCCAGGUGGGUCAAAUUUGAUUCUUGUUUAUUUUCACUCUUAAAAUAGCAUCUUGAAAUUUCACCUAUGAUCCAUCUAUAAGGAUCAAAUGUAAAUACUUCAAGAAGCAUCUGCCCAAUAAUUUCUGUACAUUCAGUAUAGCAAACAUGGUGGUAUUGUUGAUGUGUUCUCA
rnacentral:lncRNA from 13 species